CGCCACCCUGGCCGGGGUGGGGGCAUGAACGGCCGGGUCCUGAUCGCCGCCGGUUCCGAUUCCGGCGGCGGCGCC
rnacentral:tRNA from 1 species